rnacentral:rRNA from 1 species
AACCAGUUUACUGGGGAGACUAAGUGGCGAACGGGUGAGUAAAACAUUGGAACAUGCCCUAUAGUCUGGGAUAACAGUUGGAAACGGCUGCUAAUACCGGAUACACCCUACGGGGGAAAGAUUUAUUGCUAUAGGAUUGGUCAAUGGCCUAUCAGUUAGUUGGUGAGGUAAGGGCUCACCAAGACAAUGACGGGUAACUGGUCUGAGAGGAUGAUCAGUCACACUGGAACUGAGACACGGUCCAGACUCCUACGGGAGGCAGCAGUGGGGAAUAUUGCACAACGGGGGAAACCCUGAUGCAGCAACGCCGCGUGGAGGAUGAAGCAUUUAGGUGUGUAAACUCCUUUUAUAAUGGAAGAUAAUGACGGUACAUUAUGAAUAAGCACCGGCUAACUCCGUGCCAGCAGCCGCGGUAAUACGGGGGGUGCAAGCGUUACUCGGAAUCACUGGGCGUAAAGAGAGUGUAGGCGUCUUAUUAAGUCAGAUGUGAAAUGCUAUGGCUCAACCAUAGAACUGCAUUUGAAACUGGUAAGAUAGAGUACAGAAGGGGUAGGUGGAAUUAGUGGUGUAGGGGUAAAAUCCGUAGAGAUCACUAGGAAUAUCCAAAGCGAAGGCGACCUACUGGGAUGGUACUGACGCUGAGACUCGAAAGCGUGGGGAGCAAACAGGAUUAGAUACCCUGGUAGUCCACGCCCUAAACGAUGAAUGCUAGUUGUUGCAAAGCUUGACUUUGCAGUAAUACAGUUAACACAUUAAGCAUUCCGCCUGGGGAGUACGGUCGCAAGAUUAAAACUCAAAGGAAUAGACGGGGACCCGCACAAGCGGUGGAGCAUGUGGUUUAAUUCGAAAAUACGCGAAGAACCUUACCUAGCCUUGACAUCCUUGGAACCCUUAAGAGAUUAGGGGGUGCUAGCUUGCUAGAGCCAAGAGACAGGUGCUGCACGGCUGUCGUCAGCUCGUGUCGUGAGAUGUUGGGUUAAGUCCCGCAACGAGCGCAACCCACGUCCUUAGUUGCCAGCAUGUAAAGAUGGGAACUCUAAGGAGACUGCCUUCGCAAGGAGGAGGAAGGUGUGGACGACGUCAAGUCAUCAUGGCCCUUAUGGCUAGGGCUACACACGUGCUACAAUGGGGUGUACAGAGAGAAGCGAUACCGCGAGGUGGAGCAAAUCUCAAAAGCACUUCUUAGUUCAGAUUGUAGUCUGCAACUCGACUACAUGAAGUUGGAAUCGCUAGUAAUCGUAAAUCAGCAAUGUUACGGUGAAUACGUUCCCGGGUCUUGUACUCACCGCCCGUCACACCAUGGGAGUUGAAUUCGCCUUAAGCCGGAAUACUAAAUUAGUUACUGUCCACGGCGGAUUCAGCGACUGGGGUGAAGUCGUAACAAGGUA